rnacentral:rRNA from 1 species
UACGUAGGGGGCGAGCGUUGUCCGGAUUUAUUGGGCGUAAAGAGCGUGUAGGCGGCCAGGUAGGUCUGCUGUGAAAACUCGAGGCUCAACCUCGAGACGUCGGCGGAAACCAUCUGGCUAGAGUCCGGAAGAGGAGAGUGGAAUUCCUGGUGUAGCGGUGAAAUGCACAGAUAUCAGGAAGAACACCCGUGGCGAAGGCGGCUCUCUGGGACGGUACUGACGCUGAGACGCGAAAGCGUGGGGAGCGAACAGG